UACGUAGGGUGCAAGCGUUGUCCGGAAUUAUUGGGCGUAAAGAGCUCGUAGGCGGUCUGUCGCGUCGGCUGUGAAAACCCGGGGCUCAACCCGGGCCUGCAGUCGAUACGGGCAGACUAGAGUGCGGUAGGGGAGACUGGAAUUCCUGGUGUAGCGGUGAAAUGCGCAGAUAUCAGGAGGAACACCAAUAGCGAAGGCAGCUUGCUGGGACGGUACUGACGCUAAGGCGCGAAAGCGUGGGGAGCGAACAGG
rnacentral:rRNA from 1 species